AUUGAACGCUGGCGGCAGGCCUAACACAUGCAAGUCGAGCGGAUGAAGGGGGCUUGCGCCUGGAUUCAGCGGCGGACGGGUGAGUAAUGCCUAGGAAUCUGCCUGGUAGUGGGGGAUAACGUCCGGAAACGGGCGCUAAUACCGCAUACGUCCUGAGGGAGAAAGGGGGGGAUCUUCGGACCUCACGCUAUCAGAUGAGCCUAGGUCGGAUUAGCUAGUUGGUUGGGUAAAGGCCUACCAAGGCGACGAUCCGUAACUGGUCUGAGAGGAUGAUCAGUCACACUGGAACUGAGACACGGUCCAGACUCCUACGGGAGGCAGCAGUGGGGAAUAUUGGACAAUGGGCGAAAGCCUGAUCCAGCCAUGCCGCGUGUGUGAAGAAGGUCUUCGGAUUGUAAAGCACCUUAAGUUGGGAGGAAGGGCAGUAAGUUAAUACCUUGCUGUUUUGACGUUACCAACAGAAUAAGCACCGGCUAACUUCGUG
rnacentral:rRNA from 1 species